UAAAUAGUUCCAUAAAUAAUAGCAGCCGAACAGUGAAUCCAAUUUUGUCAGAAUCAGUUGUAGAUAAAGAACAGCUAAUACAAGAUGUUGUAAAUGAAUUUAAGAAAAAAAAGCCGUCGCUUUCAACACUAUCCAUUAUAAAUAGACAACUUUUUAAUAACGAGAUUUAUAGUGUUUUCCAAAAAGAGUUACAUAUGCUCCUGGAUUAAUACUGGAAGAAACAAUUCGUUUUUACCCUAGUUUUAAAGACUCUGCUCUUAAGAUUCAAAAGAUGUUGGUUUGGAUUUCUCCUGAGUCUCAAAACCACACUGAAAAUUUAAUGCUGCUGCAGAAAUCACUCAUUUCUAAGAAGACAACUGAAAAAUUGUUUAUGAAAGUAGACUGUGAUUCAAUACAUGAUUGCUUAAGAGUGCCAAGCCUAUAUGGUCCACAAAUUAUAUUUAAUAAAGCAGAGUAUGGUGUAAGGAGUCAAAGUGGUGUUGAGAUUGAUGUUCAGCCCUUGCUCAGUACAUGCGAAAUGGUAGUCGUUUUGAUGGCUGUUUAUUAUUUGUUAGAUUUAACAUAUCCUUCUUGUUUUGGGCAGCUUCUGGGAUGUUUGCAAGAUAUUUGCGGAUUUGGGCAAUCGGAUUUACUAUCUAAAAAAUGUAUUUUAAUUC